rnacentral:lncRNA from 1 species
UUACGUCACAGACCCCCGCCCCUCCCGCGGCUGCCUCGCCCCUCGCGCGGGUCAGGACUCGGCUUUCAUUCAUCGGUGGCUUCCCGGUGCUCUCCAGUCCUACGGGACGCACCCGUGCCGUCUGUGACUGGACGCGGUCCGGGUGAACAGACUUUACAGAAAGCCACGAAGUCUUUUUGACAGCAGCCUCCUCAAAUCAAGCUGACAUCAGAAAGUGCUAGAAGAGGAGGAGGAGGAAGAGGAAGAGGAAGAAAGGGUGAGGAGGAGUUUUAUUCAACUUGACAGCAGGAAAAAGUUUGAAGAAAUCUUUUCAGCCAGCUUGAAACUGCUAUCAAGUCAGAAGCAAUGGCUGCAGAAGAAAUAAAGCCCGCAAGGGGUGGACUCAACUUUGACCAGAGCACUCCUCUCAGGAGUCCUUUAGUCUUCAGACCCCUGUCUGUUAUGAACAGAGUCCUCUCUUAUGGAGAGUCCUCAUCAGAAACUUCUUUUGGGGGCAUAGAUAUGCCUCUUGGACAAGGUGAGUGA